GUGGGUAGAGCUCAGUGGUAGAGUGCAUGCUUAGCAUGUGCAAGGUCCUGGGUUCAAUCCCCAGUACCUCCA
rnacentral:tRNA from 1 species